ensembl:misc_RNA Metazoa_SRP Metazoan signal recognition particle RNA
GCCAGGUGUGGUGGCUCACGCCUGUAAUCCCAGCACUUUGGGAGGCCGAGGUGGGUGGAUCACCUGAGGUCAGGAGUUCGAGACCAGCCUGACCAACAUGGUGAAACCCCGUCUCUC